GACGAACGCUGGCGGCGUGCUUAACACAUGCAAGUCGAACGAUGAAGCCGGAGCUUGCUCUGGUGAAUUAGUGGCGAACGGGUGAGUAACACGUGAGUAACCUGCCCUUGACUCUGGGAUAACUGCGGGAAACUGUAGCUAAUACCGGAUACGACCCUCGGAGGCAUCUCCUGGGGGUGGAAAGAAUUUCGGUCAAGGAUGGACUCGCGGCCUAUCAGCUAGUUGGUGAGGUAAAGGCUCACCAAGGCGACGACGGGUAGCCGGCCUGAGAGGGUGACCGGCCACACUGGGACUGAGACACGGCCCAGACUCCUACGGGAGGCAGCAGUGGGGAAUAUUGCACAAUGGGCGCAAGCCUGAUGCAGCAACGCCGCGUGAGGGAUGACGGCCUUCGGGUUGUAAACCUCUUUUAGCAGGGAAGAAGCGAAAGUGACGGUACCUAACCAGAAAGCCACGGCUAACUACGUGCCAGCCGCCGCCGUAA
rnacentral:rRNA from 1 species